rfam:Oryza brachyantha chromosome 7, whole genome shotgun sequence.
UUUUCGUUUUUCCGUGUCUAACGUUUGACCAUUCGUCUUAUUUGAAAUUUUUUUGCGAUUAAUAUUUUUAUUGUUACUAGAUGAUAAAAUAUGAACAGUACUUUAUACGUGACUAAUUUUUUUAAGUUUUUUACAAAAUUUUCAAAUAAAACGAAUGAUCACACGUUACGAAAAACGAAAAAUAAAAUUAUU